ACAAAGAUAAGCUAGAUAGCGACCACGGUUUCGGCCCGUGCCAAGGACGGGCAAUCCUCUUUGUU
rnacentral:tRNA from 1 species